CCUACGGGAGGCAGCAGUGAGGAAUAUUGCUCAAUGGGCGCGACCCUGAAGCAGCCAAGCCGCGUGAAGGAUGAAGGUUUUCGGAGUGUAAAACCCUUUUUUUAGAGAAGAAAAUGACGGUACCUGACCCAUAAGCACCGGCUAACUACGUGCCAGCAGCCGCGGUACUACGGAGGCUGCAAGCGUUAUUCGGAGUAACUGGGCGUAAAGGGGGCGUAGACGGGUUAGCAAGUCAGAUGUGAAAGCCUUGGGCUUAACCAUAGAACUGCAUUUGAAACUGUUAUUCUGGAGUUUGGGAGAGGUAGGUGGAAUUCGUGGUGUAGCGGUGAAAUGCGUAGAGAUCACGAGGAACACUGAUUGCGAAGGCGGCUUGCUAGACUAUCACUGACGCUGAUGCGCGAAAGCGUGGGGAGCAAACAGGAUUAGAUACCCGGGUAGUC
rnacentral:rRNA from 1 species